UGGGGAAUAUUGGACAAUGGGCGAAAGCCUGAUCCAGCCAUGCCGCGUGGAUGAUGAAGGCCUUAGGGUUGUAAAAUCCUUUCGCCGAGGACGAUAAUGACGGUACUCGGAGAAGAAGCUCCGGCUAACUUCGUGCCAGCAGCCGCGGUAAUACGAAGGGGGCUAGCGUUGUUCGGAUUUACUGGGCGUAAAGCGCGUGUAGGCGGGUCGUUAAGUUGGGGGUGAAAUCCCGAGGCUCAACCUCGGAACUGCCUUCAAAACUGGCGACCUGGACUCAAGCAGAGGCAAGUGGAAUUGCGAGUGUAGAGGUGAAAUUCGUAGAUAUUCGCAGGAACACCAGUGGCGAAGGCGACUUGCUGGGCUUGUAGUGACGCUGAGACGCGAAAGCGUGGGGAGCAAACAGGAUUAGAUACCCGUGUAGUCCCUGAGCGGGCUGGCAAGGCGCAU
rnacentral:rRNA from 1 species